AUUGAACGCUGGCGGCGUGCUUUACACAUGCAAGUCGGACGAGUGGCGAACGGGUGAGUAACGCAUCGGAACGUACCGAGUGAUGGGGGAUAACUGUCCGAAAGGACAGCUAAUACCGCAUAUUAUUCGAGCGGCCGAUGUCUGAUUAGCUGGUUGGGGUGGUAAAGACCCACCAAGGCGACGAUCAGUAGCGGGUCUGCGAGGAUGAUCAGCCACACUGGGCCGGAGACACGUGCCAGACUCCUACGGGAGGCAGCAGUGGGUAAUUUUGGACAAUGGGCGCAAGCCUGAUCCAGCCAUGCCGCGUGUCUGAAGAAGGCCGUCGGGUUGUAAAGGACUUUUGUCAGGGAAGCGGUACCUGAAGAAUAAGCACCGGCUAACUACGUGCCAGCAGCCGCGGUAAUUC
rnacentral:rRNA from 1 species